rnacentral:rRNA from 1 species
GCGAGUGAAGAGGGAAGAGCUCAUCAUUGGAAUCUGACAGCGUUACGCUGUCCGAGUUGUAGAUGAGGAGUAGUCCAUCUGGACUGCAUGGCGUCCAAGUACAAUAGGCCGUCAGUGGGACAUCAUAGAGGGUGACAAUCCCGUCCUUGAUGCCAAUGUGCAAGUCCGUUACGAUGGCUAUCUCAGAGAGUCGAGCAGUUUGGGAUUUGCUGCUUAAACAUGGGAGGUAGAUUCCUUCUAAAGCUAAAUACAGGCGAGAGACCGAUAGAGAACAAGUACCGCAAGGGAAAGAUGAAAUAGAACUCUGUGAAGGGAGUCAAAAGGCGUGAAAUUGUUGCGAGAGAAGCGAUUCAAGUCAGCGUAGCUAGGCCCAUCAAGCCUCUUUGYGCUUUGGACUAGCUUUGCCAGCGGUCUUGUCCCUUAGAGACUUGACUUUUUU